AUGUUUUAGUAUUCCACGUAAGCCAUAAUUCAAUAUCUGCUUGUGUUCGGAAUUCCUAAAUCCUAAACAGUUCUACUUUUCGAAAAAUUUUCUUUCGUUUUAUUCUCAAAUUUCUCUGCGAUGGAGGUCUCCUUGUCUCGGACAACAUCCGGAGCUUUUUCAGAGUCAUUGCUGCUUAAAAGGGUUAAACUUCCUUUAUCGAAUCAAUGUAUAGUGUCCAUCUCACCAAUUAGAGUAAAAGCCUCACCUUUACUAGCUCAAACUGGAAUUCUGAUUGGGAAGGGCAACAGUGUGAAGGUUUUAUGCAGUCAAAAGAAAGAAAUUUCUGUAGUGGAGGGCAGGUGUAUGGAUGAAAUAUAUGAUGAUUUAGCCAAACGUCUUCUUCUUCCAGCAGCGGUAGCAUCGAAUCCCAAUUUGAAACACAUUGUGGGUUUAGCUGGUCCUCCUGGCUCUGGAAAGAGCACUCUAGCAUCUGAAGUAGCACAACGUGUCAACAAAUUAUGGCCCCUGAAAGCUUCUUCACUUGAUUCCCAAGUUAGGGCUCUAGACGUGGCUACAGUUCUUCCCAUGGACGGGUUUCAUCUUUAUCGUUCUCAGCUAGAUGCAAUGGAGAAUCCAGAGGAAGCCCAUGCAAGAAGGGGAGCUCCAUGGACAUUUAAUCCGGAACUUCUACUUUCAUGUCUCCAGACUAUAAGAAACCAGGGAUCAGUUUAUGUGCCGUCAUUUGACCAUGGCAUUGGAGAUCCAGUGGAAGAUGAUAUCUUUGUGAGCCCUCAACACAAAGUGGUUAUAGUAGAAGGAAACUAUUUAUUACUGGAAGAUGGGGUUUGGAAAGAGAUAUCAUCUAUAUUUAAUGAGAAGUGGUUCAUUGAGGUUGAUAUUGACACAGCAAUGCAACGAGUUCUAAAGAGACAUAUUUCAACAGGAAAGCCCCCAGAUGUUGCUAAAUGGCGGAUAGAAUACAAUGACCGGCCCAAUGCAGAGCUCAUAAUCAAGUCAAAGAGGAAUGCAGAUGUAGUAAUAAAAUCUGUUGACUUCUGAAAGUGAACCUUAGUGGUUGUAUAGCCAAAGUUAAGAGAGGCCAGUUGCAUAUGUUUUGCAUCAAGUUAUUGCACACUGGAAGAUGAUGAUAAAAGUCAUGAGGGCAGUGAAUUCUCAACUCAAUUCUGCUGAUUAAGCUGUGUCUUAGAGCUGUCCACAAUUACACUAGUAGCUUUCUGCCUGCCGUAUGAUCAAUAUUAAUUAUGUUGGCUGUGUCCAUUAUAUUCCACAACUGUUAGCAAAGAAUCUUCCUUAGAGGCCUUCAUUAUUGCUUUCUUUUUACUAUUCUUUGCCUUCAUAGAGUUGGUAAAUAUGCCAACUUUUCCAUCUUUUAGCGCAAUUCCUAGUCUCAAAACUGGUUGGGAGUUUCUUUUGUUCUUUAUGUUGUCUGUUUUAAAUGAUAGAAGAACCCUUAUCCUAUCUAA